GUGAAUCAUCGAAUCUUUGAACGCAAAUUGCGCUUCCUGGCAUCCCGGGGAGUAUUCCUGUUUGAGGGUCAGUAUUAACAAAAAAAUCGGUUUGGUUUCAAAUUGUGACGUUUCCGGAGUCUGGGUUAUCUUAACGUUUUUGGUUAAGGGGCUUAAAAUUUAUUUUUUUUUCGUAUUUUUAGAUGUAUAUUAUUUUUUUUUUUAUUCGUCUAUUCUUAAUGCCAUAAUCUUAUUAGCUGCGAUCACAU
rnacentral:misc_RNA from 1 species